rnacentral:rRNA from 1 species
UACGGAGGGUGCAAGCGUUAUCCGGAUUCACUGGGUUUAAAGGGUGCGUAGGUGGGCAGGUAAGUCAGUGGUGAAAUCUCCGAGCUUAACUCGGAAACUGCCAUUGAUACUAUCUGUCUUGAAUACCGUGGAGGUCAGCGGAAUAUGUCAUGUAGCGGUGAAAUGCUUAGAUAUGACAUAGAACACCAAUUGCGAAGGCAGCUGGCUACACGAAUAUUGACACUGAUGCACGAAAGCGUGGGGAGCAAACAGG